CAUGUUUUUUCUUCCAAUCUUGAGAAAAAAAAUAUUAAAUAAAGAGAUAAUUUUCAACAAUUGUAAUCCUCAGAGUGAUUAUGACUGUCAUCAUGAUUACAAAAUGUGAAAUGUGUGAAUAUGGCCGGAGGCAGGGCUCUGUCUAGUGGAGCAGUUAAGAGUUCUGGAAUCAAAUACACUUAGCUUUGGGUCCAAGCUCUGUGAGGUCAGCGUUGAUAUCAUUUCAAUGGUGGGAGAGAUACCGAGGCCGGGGAAGGUGAAGCAAUUUUCCCUAGAGUGCCCUGCAAAUACGUAGCAAAAAGUGAUCUCAGAGGCCUGGUAACUGGGUUUAAACAUUCCCUUUCCCUUACAGAGCAACAACCUUGGAAUUCGUAGAAAAUUGGAUGUCAGUUUCAAAUCUUGUUCCCUGUAUUGCAGAGGCACCAGUGUCACGUGAUUCAGGGUUGAUGUCCAGCCCAGAGCAUGGCUGUCCCGAAGGUGUCAUAGCAGUAGUGGCCCUCUGGAGCUGUUGUUUCCUCUAGGAAGAAAUACAGCCUUUUAGGAGUCUCAUAGAACUUCUUAGAUCCUACUGUUGAAGUCUGUGGCUCCUCUCUGGUGCAAUGGAUCCUGGGAAGAUGUGGCACAGAAGCCAUGUUGACUGUUCUUGCUGCCACGGGAACACUUAUCAGGAACCCCUUCAUUAUUCCGCCGAAAAAAAGUUUAUUGCACACCUGGAUGCCUUCUACAACUAUUCUGAUGAGACUCUGGCACACGUUAUUCCCACAUUUUCCAAGGCUCUUCAAGGCGCCAAGCCCUGGCAUCCAAGGGAAGGAUCUUAUUAUUUCAUGGAAAGGAAAGCACGAUUUCGGGGAAACAGGAUAUUGAAGAACAAUAACAGCAAAAUUGGGUUAUUUUGCUAUUUCCUCAAGAUACAGAGGAAUUCUGUGACUUCACACUUGCUCAAAAUAUGA
rnacentral:lncRNA from 1 species